GGCGCAAUUAUCAGCAAUGGUAAUAGACGCGGAUGGUGAUAACGCGUGGGUGACUUACCCUUAGGUUGGGGAUAGCCGCUAGAAAUAGCGGGUAAUACCGAAUAUUUUUGCUGUGCUUUGGCAUAGCAAGGAAAGGAGCUUCGGNUUCGCCUGAGGAUGGGCCCGCGUCCUAUUAGCCUGUUGGUGGGGUAAAGGCCUACCAAAGCUAUGAUAGGUAGCCGGCCUGAGAGGGUGAACGGCCACAUUGGGACUGAGAUACGGCCCAAACUCCUACGGGAGGCAGCAGCUAAGAAUAUUCCGCAAUGGACGAAAGUCUGACGGAGCGACGCCGCGUGGAUGACGAAGGCCGAAAGGUUGUAAAAUCCUUUUGCUACUGAAGAAUAAGCAUGGGAGGUAAUGCCCGUGUGAUGACGUUAGGUAGUGAAUAAGCCCCGGCUAA
rnacentral:rRNA from 1 species